CUGGCUCAGGAUAAACGCUGGCGGCGUGCUUAACACAUGCAAGUUGGACGGGAAUACUCGAGGAAGAGACUUCGGUUAAUUUUUUGGGUAUGAGAGUAGCGGACGGGUGAGUAAUGCAUAAGAAUCUAUCCAUCAGAGGGGGACAACUGCGGGAAACCGGAGCUAAUACCCCGUAAGCCGGAAGGUGAAAGGGAGCAAUCCGCUGAUGGAGGAGCUUGUGUCCUAUCAGGUAGUUGGUGAGGUAAGAGCUCACCAAGCCGAAGA
rnacentral:rRNA from 1 species